GAGUUCAUGGCUGCUAAUUGACUCAAAGUGCAAUCUUCUCAGCCCUCACCUCCCCCUGAACUGCUCAGCCACUCACUCAGCAAUGGCAAACACACCACGAGGCUACAGCACCAUGGAGCGUGGCAACACCUAGCUCACAUGCUAGUCAGAUAAUAAUCAGCAAAACCUUGAGUUCUUUAACCAAACUCUUUCCAGAUUGUGCUCAUGAAAGCAGCGGUUGACAUUGAGAAAUGAAUGUACUAGUGAGUUGUAUGUUCUUUAUCACAGGCAGAAAGAGAGUGUUGAGAAAGACAUGAAGAGCAAUGGAGCAACAGAAACCCCAAAAUGAGAAAAACAGUGAACAUCAAAGGACAUGACAGGCCAUCAUCUCAAGUGUAGCGAGCAUCAGUGGCCUCUGCUAUCAAGACUUAUUUCCGCAGAUACUAUUUCCUGUUAUCACACCAAGGUUCCCAACAGGAAUAAAAAAAGUGGGCUCGAAAAACAACAAGGCCUGUUUUGAUCAUGGAUGGAACAGGAAACAGCAACUGAGCAAAUUCUUGGAAGAUCAAGUCGGACAAAUCCUGUCAUGAAAACUGAAUUGUGUCAUUUCAAAGUUGAUCAGGGUAUAAAGUAAUAAAACAUUAUGUGCCUCUGCAUAUAUAAGCAGUAUAUUCAUUUCUUAAAUGUUCUGUAUUGCUUGCUUUUAAAACAAUAAUGAUUUUUAUUAAAUGUAUGCAUGAGGACAGGAUUUGACUGGAUGUAUCUUUAGGAGUCGCGUCUCUUGAGAUCUCAUAAGUGACCUAAUUAAUUCUAAAAUGGGGGCUGACGUCCAGUUUAGUAUUGAAAUGGCAGGAGCCCAGGAUCACUUAAAGGUUGUCAAGGAUGAUCUCACAAGAGAAGCCCACUGAUGAAAUAAAUCAAUGAAAUGCAUUUGUGUGCCGCUGUUUACUUCUCAAUGCCAAGGAAGAGUGUCUCUUCCAUGCACUAAGAACA